AAACAAAUUUUCAAGAAUUGGGCUUAUUUGAAUCUCAAUAAUCCUCUCAAACAACAGCAAAAAAUAUUGAAUUUGGAUUUAGGAUUGGGGAAUUUCAGGAAGAUAUCUAUGAAAUACUAAUUUUCUCCUGCAAAAUGUUAGGCCCUUUUACUGAUUUUGCUCCUUUCUUUGUACCCUUUUCAAAACCCAUGUCUCAUCUUUCUCUCAUCGGCGGUAAUCAUACAUCUGCACGUUUCUGUUCCCGGUAACCCAUUCUUUUCAUUAAAUCCAUCUCCUCUCCUCUCCAAUCUUUACCCAUUCUUUUUUCGUCGAAAUACUUACAAAAAGUUCGUUGUAGAUAUUCAUUUCUGAAAACUAAAAGGAGUCAUUUUGAUGGAUCAUAGUACGGGGAAACCGGGUUUUUUUAGGAAUGUUUUGGUACGUUUAUGCCUGUUUUGUGUUGUGAUUGUCUGUUGUCGGUUUGCUUAUGUGGUGACUCUCAAAGGGGAAACUUGUGACCUCGGCGAUUUCUGUUUCUUCUCUUUACCGGAAAAUGUCAAUGUUAUUGCCGGCGUCGGAAAGCUCACUGAGUCUGUAUCAGCGGUUAUGACUACCGAGAAUGCCGUAAAAUCUGCUCCCGCGAAGCCCAAACUUCCCGAUCUAUGGGCAAACAAGGAGUUUCAAAAAUCAGCCCAGUUUUACUCUUCGGUGUUUGAGGAUCUUGUUGCAGAGGGUUUUUUGAGCCCAAAUUCAAAAACUCUUUGCGUUGAAACACCGAUGGGUUCUGAUGUUUUUGCGUUGAGGGAAAUUGGGGUAGCCGAUUCCGUUGGGAUUUACAAGAAAGGUUCAAAGCCUUUAGUGAUUACAGGCAAAGCUGUUAAACAACCCUUUGAAGAUGAUACGUUUGAUUUAAUAUUUUCCGGUGCCGGAAUGAUAGACAAGUCACUUAAGCCGGGAGAUUUCGCGGCGGAGAUUUGCCGGACUCUAAAACCCGAAGGGUAUUUAGUUGUCCAUACAGGUUCUAAUGAUACAUACAGUUUCAAUUCAUUCCUUCAUUUGUUCAAUUGUUGUACAUUAAUUAAGUCUAGGAAUAUUGAUGGUUUUGAUUCGACUAUUCGUGAGAUCAUCAUGAAAAAGGAUAUAUUUGUUGAAGAAAAAGUGAGUGAUUCCAAGAACAAUUGUGGUCAUGUUCCUGAUUAUAAAAUGAAACUGAUUAGAAAAGCUGAGCCUUUGAUUAAAGAGGAACCUAAGAAACCAUGGAUUACACUUAAGAAGAAUGCACAGAGCAUUAAGUACUUGUCAUCCAUGGCGGAUAUUAGUUUUAAGCAGAGAUACGUGUAUGUUGAUGUUGGUUCGAGGAGUUAUGGUUCAAGCAUUGUUAGUUGGUUCAAGAAACAGUAUCCUAAGCAAAACAAGACCUUUGAUAUAUAUGCUGUUGAGGCUGACAAGACAUUCCAUGGGCAGUAUAAGGAGAAGAAAGGGGUUACAUUGUUGCCAUAUGCAGCUUGGGUUAGGAAUGAGACAUUAUCGUUUGAGAUUAAUCAAGAUCCGGGUCAUAAAGAUGUGUCGAAAGGAAGAGGAAUGGGAAGAAUUCAACCUGUUGAAUCUUCUAGUGAAGGUGCAAGUGAGGUGGAUUUAAUCCAAGGUUUUGACUUUGCCGAGUGGUUGAUGAGCGCGGUAUCAGAGAAGGAUUACGUGGUGAUGAAGAUGGAUGUUGAAGGGACCGAAUUUGAUUUGAUCCCGAGAUUGAUUGAAACGGGGGCGAUAUGCUUGAUUGAUGAAGUAUUUCUUGAGUGCCAUUACAAUAGGUGGCAGAAAUGCUGCCCUGGGGAGAGGUCUUCAAAGUAUCCGAAUACGUAUAGCCAGUGUUUGGAUCUCUUCACUUCUCUAAGAGAAAGUGGAGUUCUUGUUCAUCAAUGGUGGUAAUACAGUCUAGCUCUUUAGUCUUUUUUGUUAUACAAGAGGCCAAAAAAUUCUCUCUUUUACUUCAUAUGUAUCUACUGUUUGCCCCAAUAUAAAGAAUUACGUUCAAUGUGUUUGCUUCUACAACAAC
rnacentral:misc_RNA from 1 species